AUGUUCAUAGGUAUCUCUUUCUUUAUAUUUGGGAAGUUUUCUUCAAUAAUUUUGUUGAAGAUGUUUGCUGGUCCUUUGAGUUGAAAAUCUUCAUUCUCAUCCACUCCUAUUAUCCGUAGGUUUGGUCUUCUCAUUGUGUCCUGGAUUUCCUGGAUAUUUUGAGUUAGGAUCUUUUUGCAUUUUCCAUUUUCUUUGAUUGUUGUGCCGAUGUUCUCUAUGGAAUCUUCUGCACUUGAGAUUCUCUCUUCCAUCUCUUGUAUUCUGUUGCUGAUGCUCAAAUCUAUGGUUCCAGAUUUCUUUCCUAGGGUUUCUAUCUCCAGUGUUGCCUCACUUUGAGUUUUCUUUAUUGUUUCUACUUCCCUUUUUAGGUCUAGUAUGGUUUUGUUCAUUUCCAUCACCUGUUUGUAUGUUUUUUUUCUCUUUUUCUGUAAGGACUUCUACCUGUUUGAUUGUGUUUUCCUGUUUUUCUCUAAGGACUUGUAACUCUUUAGCAGUGUUCUCCUGUAUUUCUUUAAGUGAUUUAUUAAAGUCCUUCUUGAUGUCCUCUACCAUCAUCAUGAGAUAUGCUUUUAAAUCUAAGUCUAGGUUUUCGGGUGUGUUGGGGUGCCCUGGACUGGGCGAAGUGGGAGUGCUGGGUUCUGAUGAUGGAAAACAUCGGCUUCUUCUUGACAGAAGAAUUACCACUGGAGACAUCAAAUUCUAUUUUACAGAGAUUGAGUCCUGAUGAACCAAGAGGAUAUUCAGAGUACUAAGGAUUUUGCCCAGAGGCCAUCAUUCUGGCUUUUACAUAUUUUGAGUGUAUCAGCUGUGCCAGAAGCAUUUUAUUUCUGUGUGGUCAUUAGAUUUUAUAUUGCUGCAGAGACAGAUAAAAUAAAAAUCUUUUCAGAAGAAGCUGCUUACUAGACUUUAUGAAUUUGGGUGUGAAUAGUCAUUCUAUUUAAUAAGUAUGAUUGUUAACUGUUCUGAAACAUAAACAAAAUUUACUUCUGGAAACUUAGAGUAUAGAGCCAAAAUCUCUCCUACUUCUUCUUUUUCCUUUUAAAAUUAAGAAGAAAUAAGCAUCUAUAAAUGGGAGAGAAAACCAUUAUAAGAACAUAGUUGUAUAUUCUCAUUAAUUAUAGUGCUCAAUUUUGGUUGUCAUUUUUCUCCUUGUAGCUUCAUUCCAUAGCCAAAGAUUCUAUCCCCUUAAUCUCAGACUUAUUAAAGAGUGCUUCUUUAACUAUAGAAAAGAUAAAACAAAGACAAGAAAGAAGUCAUCAUCAAAUAGUUGAACAUCUUAAGGUCUGAAGUGCUAUGCCAGACAUCUUCACAUUGAUUAUAUUAUUCAAAAAUCCAAGAGUCUUAGAUGCAAGGUUCAUGGCCACCAAAGUCCAUAGUUGAUGAUUUGUUCUGGAUAGUUAUUAGAUCCAACAGGAAUCCAUUUCAUUCUGACGCAAGUGUUCAUGCCAAAGUGCUGUGUUCCAAAACACCCAUG
rnacentral:lncRNA from 1 species